UACGGGGCAGCAGUGGGGAAUAUUGCACAAUGGGCGAAAGCCUGAUGCAGCUAUGCCGCGUGUAUGAAGAAGGCCUUAGGGUUGUAAAGUACUUUCAUCGGGGAGGAAAAAACAAAACUAAUAAUUUUAUUUCUUGACGUUACCCGAAAAAGAAGCACCGGCUAACUCCGUGCCAGCAGCCGCGGUAAUACGGAGGGUGCUAGCGUUAAUCAGAAUUACUGGGCGUAAAGAGCACGUAGGUGGUUUUUUAAAGUCAGAUGUGAAAUCCCUGGGCUUAACCUAGGAACUGCAUUUUGAAACUGAAAUACUAGAGUAUCGUAGAGGGAGGUAGAAUUCUAGGUGUAGCGGUGAAAUGCGUAGAUAUCUGGAGGAAUACCUGUGGCGAAAGCGGCCUCCUAAACGAAUACUGACACUGAGGGUGCGAAAGCGUGGGGAGCAAACAGGGAUUAGAUACC
rnacentral:rRNA from 1 species